rnacentral:tRNA from 2 species
CAAAGUGUAGCUUAAAACAAAGCACCCGGCCUACACCCAGAAGAUUUCAGAUACACUGACCACUUUGA